GGGGGCGAGAGCGGGCAGGGCGCAAAGCUCGGUUGGCCCGUGGGCUGCGGCUGGGGCCACGGGGUUUCCUCCAAUGAGAUCCAGGGUGAGAUGACGUCACUGUCGCCAUGGAGAUGCUGCUACAACCCUCCCCCCCCCCCGCCUCCUCCCCCGGCCGGGCGGGGGCUGAGGGGCUGUCCGGGGGGGGGGAAUUUGGGUUUUAGUCCGAAUACUCUUUUUUUAUUCCUGUUUUUUUUUUUUUUUUUUUUGUCCUAGGUGCCCCCAACAAAGGACGUUUUGCUCCUUCGGGGCCAGGACAAAGUGAAUAUCCCCGAGCCCCGGGUCGAUGGGGUCUGCCACACGUCCCUGUUUGUCACCCCCGCCAUGGGGGCCAAGGGGCUUUUCCUCGUCAUGAGCACUUGCUCCACCCGUAGGGACUCACAGCUUUCGUCAGGGACAGAUUUUCCAAAGCCAUUUGUAAUUCACAGAAUCACAGAAUUCACCACAGCUAAACUCCCCCCCUUCCCUAAGAUCCAGGCGACACAAAAUUGUUCAUAAAGAGUUAAUAUCCCUCCCCUCCUGACGGGAUGAAGGACAAGCAUUUGACUUCAGCACCAAUCAAUAUAUUUACUUUUUUCCCCCCUCCUGAUUUCACCUGGAGUUAGUUUCGAAGAGGUCAGAGACGCAAUGCACAGAGACCGGAAUUUUAGGUUCGUGCUGCUGCACAUGAAUAGUAAAAUACUGUCCGGUCAUGAGUGAAUAAUCAUGAGUCAAUUGCUGCUGUGCUUCCAAAAUGCUGCUUGGAUGGGUGCGGGAUUUGUCUGCACUCACACCGCCCCAAUCUUGGAAGAAAUGAUAACAAGAUAGCGAGUUUGUGCUGUUUGUCACGACGUUCAGCAUACAAGACCCAGGAGCGGAUCACAGACGUCCUGCCCGUCAGGCCUCGGGCUAGCUCGGGGCCACAAAUGUCUUUGUGCAGCGCAGGGCGUCUGCGUGAAGUGAUGACAUUUCUCACCUUUCGUUUUAGCAUCACCAAAUUUAGUCAUGUUCAGCAACUUCAGCAUCCAGAUGGAAUGAUGAAUUCUCUGAAUCGACCUCAGGAUGUUAUUGUCUCAGCCCGUAAAGCUCUUGGUCUGUGUUUGGACUAGGGCUGAGAUGAUGCAUGUCGAAAUUAGGUCCAUGCUGUGAACAAACCGCUGCCUUUGUAAUUUGCGUUUGAGAUGCAUUUAUUCUGUUAAAAAGAAAAAAAAAAGAACCUAUUGAUAAUACCCCUUUCAAAGUUAAUGAAACUCUCACAGAAAGAAUUUUGGAAAUAUAUUACUCUAUUCCAGAAAUUACUGUCCUGGCAAUUUGCUGCAGUUUUAGGUUGCCUUUUUAUUCUUCCCUGUCACUAGGAUAUUCUCUCAUAUUCAAAACCCCAAGUCAUCGCUUUCAUUAACACGUGAAGGAAAGGCCAAAACUGACCAAUUGUGCAACAAAACCUUGAUUAAUAUCAUGUCUCCGUCAGAGAUGAAACCAACCAUUCUAUCUGUAAGGCACAGAUGAGUGGAUUUUAUCUGAGGAAGGACAGCUGACCUAAUCAAGGCUACCUCCUUCACCGAUUCCACUCAAAAACUGGGAAGACAUUAGUCUCUCAUGCACUGUAGUUCACCCCUCCCUCCAACCUACUGAGACCUUGCAUUAAGAAAUGCAGAAUUGUCUUAAAAGGCUGGGAAGCACUGGGUACAGCAAACCUGUGUGCACAGAAGUGUGUGAUGGAUCUAGAUGUACUCGCACGUGCGGUGCAGUCACUGAAUACUGCAUGGCCCAAGCGUCUGCCUCCAGACCCGCUACGUGCUACAGCUGCCGCCUGGGCUUCUGUUCCAUUUGGGGUCCUUUGGGUUUUUGUGUCGUAGGACUACAGCGUGAUAUGGUUUUAAAAGCCAUAGCCGUAAUCUCGUUUCCCCAGAGGAACCCUAUCUCUGAGUAGGUUGAUGACCUUUGGGAAGCUUUUAUGAGAGGAGGCUAGAAGAAUUUGUUGUGUUUAUUUUAAUAAAGGUUAAGAGGAGAUUUGACGUUGUCUCAAAAGGAGGGAAAACAUGGGUGGAGAACUGUUAUUUAAAUGGAAGGCAAAUGUGUCUAAAAUGGACAUUGAUGAAUUUAGACUGAGAAUUAGAAAAUCUGGAAUUUUCAGAGCAAUGAGGUUAUGGAAUGACUUUUCUGCACGGAGGGCAGGAAGCCCAGCUGCUUUGAAAGAGGAACCUGAUCAAUUUAUAAAAGUGCUUAUGUGGUGUAGUCGCCAGAGACAGCAGGAGACUAAACUCCAAGAGCUUUCCAAUUCUUUGCUUCUAUUUAAUGUUUCUUUUAAUGCUUAUUUCACGUAGACUUUAAUGUACAGCUUACUGCACAGAACUACCCUCCAUUGAAGAAAAAAUAUUAAUUUCCCUUAGAGUGUUUUAGGAAUGCUGUCAUCCUGCUAAACAUUAACGACUUUAUCUGUGUAAUACCAUUAUGAAAUGGGUGGCAUUAUCUUGUCUUAUGUCCAGGAAAUGAAAAAUAUCAACACUCCUAGAUACCUCUGUGGAGAAAUAUAAGGUUUUCUUUUCCAGGGUGUUAAACAUUAAAUCAAGGACCUUCAUUUCUACUUUCUGCUGCUCGACGUGUAUUGAACGUCCACCUCCCAUUGACUUCAGAUGCACCUACUGAUGUUCAGCAUCUUGGCAGCUCGCACUGCAAAUUACCCAGCUGGGAUGGGGGAGAAAUAUGAGGAAUAUAUAUAAUGCAAAUUCCUGAGACUUACAUGUGAACUUUAGGAUGGAGUUAGAACCCAGUUUUCCAGAGGUUCAGUUAUUUGCCAUAACGAUAGACAGUUUUUUUCUCUUUGUUGUUGUUUUUGUGUGUGUGUGUGUGUUUGUUUUCUGGCAGAGCCUGUCCCCUCCAUCCCAUGGUUUUCAUUUCUGUAGCAAAUGAAACAGAAGUAGUACAGGCAGCAGCUUCCUCCCCUACCUGUCUCCGUAUCAGGCCUUCCCUCUACACCAAGUAUGUGGCCCAUGAAGGUGGUAUCUCACAGAGCAGACAACACUGUGAACUAAGGUUUACUGUAUUUGGGUAGUUUUCCUUGAAACCAGCCAAAGACCUAACCUCCAACUGGCCAACUUCUUGCUUGCUUUUAUCCAAGAAAAAUUACCCAGUUUAUGGGAGAGGACCAUUAAAGUCACUCAUCUGUGAGCAGUUCAUUGUGGUGCUGGGAGGCUGCGAGUUUCAGAAAACGUCUAUAUUGCAAGAGCGUUGGCAAACCAAAAGAACGAAGGAAGUAAGGGAGAGGACAGAAAAGACAGGAAUGCAAAGAAGGCAGACAAGUGGUUAACCAGCGAUACCUGUGGGAAGAUGCGGUACAACCAUCCUGUCUCGUGUGAACUUUAUUGGUCAAAAUAAAGGCUGUAGAAAGAAUCAGAUAAGAACUUUGUUUCAGGGUAAGAUUUUUUUCUCAAACUCUCAGUUUUGAAGCAUUCUUCUGUCAGCUUAACGUGGCUUAAUGGGAAGCCUCAAAUACACGGGGUGAGCAUCCAUGGAGCUACAAGCAAGAAAAAAAGCUCGACUAGUGGAAGAGGUUUCUAGGCAAUGAGUCGCCUCCUACAUUAGUGGGAUGAGCUUCCCUACGGGACGUUUUGCCUUCUGGAGAAACCUAAAUGAGAGAGAUACUCCACUGCCCCACACCCUUCUUCUCUUCAUGUACUCCCGCUGCUAAAGAGACUGUAAAGCUUCCUGUUGAGAUAAAGAGCUGUGCUUACAAUGUGUAGCCCCAAACCAGCAAGAUAACAUGCUGCCGUUUGCUGUGUUAGGCAAUGCCGUUUCUGUAGCGGGGCGGUAUUUCUGAAUGGAGAGAUUCAAACAGGGAACUGAUCCGUGGAUGAGCAUGUGAGGAGUUUAGUCUGGGGGUGCUAGAUGUUCGUGAUGGUGAAGAGUAAUAUUGGGAGUUUUCAGAUCAUUUUCCACGUACUUAAACACUAGAGACUUUCAAAUAGAAUACACAACUAUAAUGAAAUUCCAGUAUUUAUUUCAUUGUGAUAAUCAAAGGGAAAGCUUUAGUAUAAAAGAUGAUGUUAAAUGUAUAAAAUAUUCCAUAAAUCUCUGUUUUUCUAAUGUCAUAGAUUGCCACCUUUCUUAGCUAUUUUAUUCAAAACUUUUCAAGUUCCCGUCAUGCUAUUUUUUAUUUCAUUGGCUUAUUUAGAUGUAGAGUGAUUUUUUUUUAAUUAUCUCCAACACAAGAAACUUCUCAAAGUCAAAGUUUUAUUGAUCAGUAAUUUUCCAGCAGCCCCUCCUUAUGUUUCAGCAGAUAACUCUGGACCAGGGCCAGCUGUUGUUUCCUGGCCUCAUUCCAAUUUUUUUCCCUGAAAAUGAAUACCCAAAAUGUUCGUCGUUCCCAUACUAUGGAAUCAAUGUGCAUAAUACAGAAAAAAUGUCAGGCUUUAUAAUGUGAUGCAGAAAAUUAAACUUGUUACUAUUUGUGAGUAGGUUUUCCUUCUUAGAAUGCAUAAUUUAAAAAAUAUGUUGUGGCUGCUAUUGUGGCUGUCAUACUAUCCCAUACUGGAAUCUGUGUCAGAAUUAUAAAAAAAUGCUAUAUGAGAAGAGAACCCGGGCAGACAUUUUCCUAGAACAUGUCAGAAGCAAACUUUUUGUGAACAAAUGAAUAAAAUUAAUCCUUCCAAGGCAA